rnacentral:rRNA from 1 species
AAGUCGAGCGAACGGACGAGAAGCUUGCUUCUCUGAUGUUAGCGGCGGACGGGUGAGUAACACGUGGAUAACCUACCUAUAAGACUGGGAUAACUUCGGGAAACCGGAGCUAAUACCGGAUAAUAUUUUGAACCGCAUGGUUCAAAAGUGAAAGACGGUCUUGCUGUCACUUAUAGAUGGAUCCGCGCUGCAUUAGCUAGUUGGUAAGGUAACGGCUUACCAAGGCAACGAUGCAUAGCCGACCUGAGAGGGUGAUCGGCCACACUGGAACUGAGACACGGUCCAGACUCCUACGGGAGGCAGCAGUAGGGAAUCUUCCGCAAUGGGCGAAAGCCUGACGGAGCAACGCCGUGUGAGUGAUGAAGGUCUUCGGAUCGUCAAACUCUGUUAUUAGGGAAGAACAUAUGUGUAAGUAACUGUGCACAUCUUGACGGUACCUAAUCAGAAAGCCACGGCUAACUACGUGCCAGCAGCCGCGGUAAUACGUAGGUGGCAAGCGUUAUCCGGAAUUAUUGGGCGUAAAGCGCACGUAGGCGGUUUUUUAAGUCUGAUGUGAAAGCCCACGGCUCAACCGUGGAGGGUCAUUGGAAACUGGAAAACUUGAGUGCAGAAGAGGAAAGUGGAAUUCCAUGUGUAGCGGUGAAAUGCGCAGAGAUAUGGAGGAACACCAGUGGCGAAGGCGACUUUCUGGUCUGUAACUGACGCUGAUGUGCGAAAGCGUG